rnacentral:lncRNA from 1 species
GGGACCGAUCCACCUCUUUGGAGACCAUUCAGACUCGAGAUCAUCAGCUUGGAAGGGGGGAAACCUGGGUGGUGAUGUCUAUUGGCAAGUACAUGAUGAAUUCGAUAAUGCAAUUCUCGAUCUUGGCUCUAUGGUUUUGAAUAGAAAGAGCAAAAGAGUGGUGAAGGGUUUGAGAGAGUGAGAGAGAGAGGGGGGAGAGAGAGAGAAAGCAAGAUGGUUGCAUAGCUGGUAGAGGAGGGUUGGUAGGAAGGCUAGGGGGCAAGGGGAAGGGUUC